AGCUCCAAUAGCGUAUAUUAAAGUUGUUGCGGUUAAAAAGCUCGUAGUUAGAUUUCUGGUUCAGUCAGCCGGUCGACUUCACAGUCGUAUCAGGCAGUGACAGAACCUUUGCCUUACGCUGAGUCGCGCUUUACUGUGUGGCACAGGGUUUGGCUCUUUACUUUGAGGAAAUUAGAGUGUUUCAAGCAGGCUUCUGCCUUGAAUACAUUAGCAUGGAAUAAUAAGAUAUGACUUCGGUUCUAUUU
rnacentral:rRNA from 1 species